rnacentral:rRNA from 1 species
UACGUAGGGUGCGAGCGUUGUCCGGAAUUAUUGGGCGUAAAGCGCGUGUAGGCGGCUUUGCAAGUCGGGUGUGAAAGCCCUCAGCUCAACUGAGGAAGUGCGCCCGAAACUGCAGAGCUUGAGUGCCGGAGAGGGUGGCGGAAUUCCCCAAGUAGAGGUGAAAUUCGUAGAUAUGGGGAGGAACACCGGUGGCGAAGGCGGCCACCUGGACGGUCACUGACGCUGAGACGCGAAAGCGUGGGGAGCGAACGGG